UACGGGGGGAGCAAGCGUUGUUCGGAUUUACUGGGCGUAAAGGGCGCGUAGGCGGUCAGCACAAGUCAGUUGUGAAAUCUCCGGGCUUAACUCGGAAAGGUCAACUGAUACUGUGCGACUAGAGUGCGGAAGGGGCAACUGGAAUUCUCGGUGUAGCGGUGAAAUGCGUAGAUAUCGAGAGGAACACCAACGGCGAAAGCACUCUGCUGGGCCGACACUGACACUGAGAGACGAAAGCUAGGGGAGCGAAUGGG
rnacentral:rRNA from 1 species